rnacentral:rRNA from 1 species
AGAAUCAACGCUGGCGGCGUGCCUAACACAUGCAAGUCGAACGAGAAAGUGGAGCAAUCCAUUAGUAAAGUGGCGCACGGGUGAGUAACACGUGACUAACCUACCCUUGAGUGGGGGGAUAACCUAGAGAAAUCUGGGCUAAUACCGCAUAAUACCUUCGGGUCAAAGGAGCAAUUCGCUUAAGGAGGGGGUCGCGGCCGAUUAGUUAGUUGGCGGGGGUAAUGGCCCACCAAGACUAUGAUCGGUAUCCGGCCUGAGAGGGCGCACGGACACACUGGAACUGAAACACGGUCCAGACUCCUACGGGAGGCAGCAGUGGGGAAUUUGCGCAAUGGGGGAAACCCUGACGCAGCAACGCCGCGUGGAGGAUGAAGCCCCUUGGGGCGUAAACUCCUUUCGAUCGGGACGAUAAUGACGGUACCGAGAGAAGAAGCCCGGCUAACUUCGCGCCAGCAGCCGC